rnacentral:rRNA from 1 species
UACGGGGGGAGCAAGCGUUGUUCGGAUUUACUGGGCGUAAAGGGCGCGUAGGCGGUAGCACAAGUCAGUUGUGAAAUCUCCGGGCUUAACCCGGAGCGGCCAAGUGAUACUGUCGUGCUAGAGUGCGGAAGGGGCUACUGGAAUUCUCGGUGUAGCGGUGAAAUGCGUAGAUAUCGAGAGGAACACCUGCGGCGAAGGCGGGUAGCUGGGCCGACACUGACGCUGAGGCGCGAAAGCCAGGGGAGCGAACGGG